UGGGGAAUUUUGGACAAUGGGGGCAACCCUGAUCCAGCAAUACCGCGUGUGUGAAGAAGGCCUUCGGGUUGUAAAGCACUUUUGUCCGGGAAGAAAAUCCCCUGCCCCUAAUACGGCGGGGGGAUGACGGUACCGGAAGAAUAAGCACCGGCUAACUACGUGCCAGCAGCCGCGGUAAUACGUAGGGUGCGAGCGUUAAUCGGAAUUACUGGGCGUAAAGCGUGCGUAGGCGGUGAUGUAAGACCGAUGUGAAAUCCCCGGGCUCAACCUGGGAACUGCAUUGGUGACUGCAUUGCUCGAGUAUGGCAGAGGGGGGUGGAAUUCCACGUNUAGCAGUGAAAUGCGUAGAGAUGUGGAGGAACACCGAUGGCGAAGGCAGCCCCCUGGGCCAAUACUGACGCUCAUGCACGAAAGCGUGGGGAGCAAACAGGAUUAGAUACCCUGGUAGUCCACGCCCUAAACGAUGUCAACUGGUUGUCGGGCCUUCAUUGGCUUGGUAACGUAGCUAACGCGUGAAGUUGACCGCCUGGGGAGUACGUCGCAAGAUUAAAACUUAAAUGAAUUGACGGGGUCAUAGCU
rnacentral:rRNA from 1 species